GGAGGCUCAGUCUCGCAGCAGCCAUUGAAGGGGAAGGAACUGCGGGCGCGCGCGUGUCUCUCUCCCUCACUCUCUCUGUGUGAAAGUGUGUGCGUGCCCGAGUGUGCGCGCGCGGGUGUGUGGACUCGGAGGUGGGGGCAGCCGAGUUAGUCCCAAGUCGUCGGACUCCAUUUGCUAUUCUUUUCUUUCUCUCCCACACCCGUGUGGUAGUGGGCGUUCGUCUUUGCGUCUCUUUUCAUUCAUCUCCAGACCUUUAGAGGUUUUUUUAGGGUUGGGGAUAGUGGGGAGGGCAGGCGAGGGGAAAGGAGGAGGACAUGGAGAUGAAGAAGAAGAUUAACAUGGAGUUGAAGAACAGAGCCCCGGAGGAGGGUGGGCCUCUCAUACUUAAUGAAAGACGAAAUUCAGGAUGAAGAGGACGAUGAUGACUACGUUGAUGAAGGGGAGGAGGAGGAAGAAGAGGAGGAAGAGGGUCUUCGGGGAGAGAAGAGAAAGCGAGAUGCUGAGGAUGACGGGGAGGAAGACGACGAUUAGACCUCCAGGACCAGGCCACCUGACACUCCUGGGCGCUGGAGAGCGAUCACAUUGUCUUUGUUUCUUUAUGUAUGAUAGCUGUCCCAGUAGGAGAUGAUGUGUAACUUUUUAUAGGAAAAGUGUGGUUUUACUAUUUUGGCCUUACCAUUCCGGUUAAGAUUUGCUAGUCUGUUAAUCAUAAUGUUCUUAGAAAAGAAUUCUCAUUCAUCUUCCCAUAGUGAAAUUCUCUAGCACUGUAUUUAGAUUCUGGAUUUUUAUAAUUCAUGCUUAAUGUAUUAGACAUUUUUAGCCCAUAAUUAAAACAUUGUUGCUUUUACACAGGUGUAGUUUGGUGCAUUUCAUUCAUAGUGUUUUAAAGUUAUUUAUAAAUUAACCAAUUACACUC
rnacentral:lncRNA from 1 species